rnacentral:rRNA from 1 species
UACGGAGGGGGCUAGCGUUGUUCGGAAUUACUGGGCGUAAAGCGCACGUAGGCGGCUUUGUAAGUUAGAGGUGAAAGCCCAGGGCUUAACCCUGGAAUUGCCUUUAAGACUGCAUCGCUAGAAUCGUGGAGAGGUGAGUGGAAUUCCGAGUGUAGAGGUGAAAUGCGUAGAGAUCCGGAGGAACACCAAAGGCGAAGGCAGUGUCCUGGGGAGUACCUGACGCUCAGGUGCGAAAGCCAGGGGAGCGAACGGG